UUUCGCAAUGCCCGAAAGGGGUGCUAAUACUCAAUGCCGUCCCGGGCCUGAGGGUUCGGGAUGAAAGGAGGCCUCUGAUUCAAGCUUCCGCUCGGGGAGAGGUUUAUGUCCUAUUAGCUAGUUGGUGAGGUAACGGCUCACCAAGGCUUCGAUGGGUAGCCGACCUGAGAGGGUGACCGGCCACACUGGGACUGAGACACUGCCCGGACUCCUACGGGAGGCUGCAGUCGAGAAUCUUCCGCAAUGCGCGCAAGCGUGACGGAGCGACGCCGCGUGGGCGAUGAAGGCCUUCGGGUUGUAAAGCCCUGUUAGCUGCCAUGAAUGGCGGGUGGUGAACAGCUAUCCCGCUUGACGUAAGCAGCAGAGGAAGCACCGGCUAACUACGUGCCAGCAGCCGCGGUAAUACGUAGGGUGCAAACGUUGUUCGGAAUCACUGGGCAUAAAGGGCGCGUAGGCGGUCUGGUCAGUCAAGUGUGAAAUCCCCCGGCUCAACCGGGGAACUGCACUUGAUACUGCCGGGCUUGAGUGCAGGAGGGGAGAGUGGAAUUCCUGGUGGAGCGGUGAAAUGCGUAGAUAUCAGGAGGAACGCCGGUGGCGAAAGCGACUCUCUGGCCUGCAACUGACGCUGAGGCGCGAAAGCUAGGGGAGCAAACGGGAUUAGAUACCCCGGUAGUCCUAGCCCUAAACGAUGGGCACUAAGUAGAGGGGUUUU
rnacentral:rRNA from 1 species